rnacentral:lncRNA from 1 species
AUUUCCAAUCACACCUCUCUCAUCUCCAGUUCGCUACGUACUUUGCUUGCAGUUUCCUUCUUGUUCUUCCCGUGUUUCUCAAUCUCCUUGCACAUAUUAUACACAUAUUUCGUGUUAGAUUUUCAGGAUCUAGAUCUUGUGGGCGAGUUCUUGGAAGAAAAUGGAGGUCUUAGGAACAAGGCCUCCCGCGAUUCAGCGAUGGGUUUUUCGCGUUAUGGUUAUUCUGUUCAUCACUAACGUUCAUUCUUUCUACCUUCCCGGUGUAGCUCCCCAGGAUUUUGUGAAGGUCAGUCCUUCUGGUAUAUUUUUUAUUUCAUUUCAUUGCUGUUGAUUAUAUAUGAAGAUUUUGUACACUAUUUUUUGUUUCUGAUUUAUGGGUUUGGGUUUAAUUUGUAGUUCUUAUGGUUCUGAGUUUAUAUAUGCAUUUCUGCGUACAAAUUCUAUGAAAGUUUUAAUAUUUUCCUAUUUUAUUGGAGUGACUACGAUUCCUAAAUAUCCAUUUUGUGGGAUGUCAUUACAAGAUUUCUGAUUUAACAUGGGGUUAAAGAGUUCUGUGCUUUGCUUUCAUUGUACGUUUUCCGUCCCAUUGUCCCAUUUAUACUGGCUUGUUUUGUUUUUCACGCGGAUUAAGAAAUCUUAUUUAAUAUUACUGAAAAGCAAUUUUUAUCAAUAACUUUUCUAGUUUACCCUAUGUAUAUUUGUACGCUUUCAAGGUUAAGUGGAAAAAAAAGGUUAUAAUUAGGCAAAUUAAAUAAGGGUAUAUUAGUAAACGCAAAAAAAAAAAAAAGCUCAAUAAAGAAAUAGGACUAUAUAAUUGGGACAACAAAAUAAGAAAAGUAAGCCUAUAUAAAUGGGACAGAGGGAGUAGUUGCUAAACAUAACUAGAAAUGGUGCGAGCUUAUAAGUUUUAAGAAGUGGGAUGACAGUUAUUUAAAUUUAGACAUCUACUUCCUGCCGAAGGUGUAUGUUCAAACUCAAGUAUUGAGCAUUGAACUAAGCAAAAAUGAAGGGACACUGUUGAAAACAAAAAUGACAGUUAGUAUAUGAACUGUAGUACCUUUGACAUUUUCUGGGUAAGAAGCAUGAGUCGAAUUGUAUUAACAGGUCAACCACAUCAUCUAGCACCCUACAAACAUGUGAGAAAUUAUAAACUUUUAGUAAUUUGAUCACAAGUUAAUGGAAUUGGAUCUUUGUGAUGAUGUAAUAGUGAAACAUAAAGAAAUUUUUUGGACCGAUGCUAUAAGUGGAACAAAAACAUGAAAAUGAAUGUAACAGCAGUCUAUAUGGAUCUCCAGAAAGAAAAUCGUUGACAUUACGUUCUGAUCCCAUGUUUUAGGGGAGCAAUAUUCUAUUGGUAAGACGAUGACUUAUGUAAUUAUUUAGUUUAGAAUUUUUCUCUCUGGAUUGCCGUGGAUAUGAUUUUCCUGGCUUGUUAUUUAUAAAGAAGUCAAAUUGAAUACAUAAAAUUUGAAACUUGACUAUUCGAUGGCUGGAAAUGUGAGAAAGAAUUGUCCUUUGCAUUGUGAAUAUAUAUGUAACAUAUCAAGUCAAUGGUGGUUUCGGCAAUCAUUAUUUUGGCAUCACUUGUUACAUGCCAGAUAUGCUUGUCUAUUUUAAAAAUUAUUCAUUGGAAACCUUCAGACACCCCCCAAUAAAGACCUCAGUACCUAAUUUGUGAACAAUUGGCUUGGCUUUUAUGCAGUAAAUAUGCAUGGUUUCAGCAAUCAUUAUUUUGGCACACGUGGUUUGCGGGAUCACAAGCCCAAUCUGCUUGUCUAUUUGAAAAAAAUUUCAUUCGAAACCUUCGGGUGCCCCAAUAAAGACCUCAGUACCUAAUUUGUGAACAAAUGGCUUUUAUGCAGUAAAUAUUCAUGUGUGCAUUCUCCUAUGUGUGUAAUGCUUUUACUUUUCUCUUCACUUCAGUUUUUGUAACGUGAAUUGCAUGUUUUGCUGAUUUUCUUCUUAUGCAGGGUGAUCCUCUGAAGGUGAAAGUAAACAAACUGACUUCCACUAAAACUCAACUUCCUUACUCCUACUAUUCCCUUCCUUACUGUAAGCCAGAAAAAAUUGUAGACAGCGCAGAGAAUCUUGGGGAAGUUCUUCGUGGUGAUCGUAUUGAGAACUCACCCUAUGUGGUCAGUCUUUCUAAUGGCAUUCUGUUGAAUUUUUCAUCUCUUUUAUUCCUUGGUCAACUAACAAAAUUCACCUCAUUAUUUCCUUUGGGUCAAUUUUCUAACAAUAGAUAAUAAACCUUGUAUGAUGCAUAAAAAUUAAGUGCUUGUUUGACAUCUGUUUAUAAUCAGUCAAACUGCCUUUUACCCACACAUUUAGUGGGACCUACAGUAUUACCCACUUUUUUACCACUCAUUCUAUAUAUUUGUAGUUAAACCAAUUAUAAACAACUCCCAAAUAUGCUUUAAGCCUCUAACUGAAGUUUAUUGUUGCAGUUCAAAAUGCGAGAACCACAAAUGUGCAAUGUAGUUUGCCAUAUCACACUUGAUGCCAAACUUGCAAAGGAAUUCAAGGAGAAGAUAGAUGAUGAAUACCGGGUGAACAUGUGAGCUACCAUUUUUAGGAAUGUGAUGUAUUCUAAUAAUAUUGCCUUACAUGACUCAUAUUCUACUUUUUUUGUUUUUAUCAGGAUUUUAGAUAAUCUCCCUCUAGUUGUGCCUUAUAAAAGACCUGACAUAGAUUCCCUAGUGUAUCAAUAUGGUGUGCCUGUUGGUGUAAAAGCACAGUAUGCUGGAGUAAGUAUUAACUUGAUUUGCUUUCGCAGUUGUAAAUCUCCUUUUCUUCAAGGAACUUUUUGACACCUUUUUUUUCUCCUGAAUUUUUUGCUUAGAGUAAGGAAGAAAAGUAUUUUAUCUACAACCAUUUGACAUUCACUGUGAAGUUUCAUAAAGACGAAGAGACUGAUGCUGCAAGAAUUGUGGGAUUUGAAGUCAAACCUUUCAGGUAAUAUUGUGCUGUGUGUUAAAUUUGUGCUUCAGCAGUAAUCUGGUCAUUUUUCUGAUGUUGGAUUUCCUUUGUGCAUCCAGCGCUAAGCAUGAAUAUGAGGGUAAAGGGGAUGGUAAAACACGGUUAAAAACCUGUGAUCCUCAUGCAAAACGAACUAUAACCAGCUCUGAUUCUCCUCAGGAGGUUGAAGAUAAGAAGGAAAUAAUCUUCACGUACGAUGUUGAGUUUAAGGUAAUAUUUUGCGACAGACUGUGGCUAUAAUAACUAUAUGAUGGAAAAAGCUGGCAUUAUGGUCGUAUGUCAUUGUGCUUUUCUCCUUGCCUUGUAGGAGAGCGAAGUCAAGUGGGCAUCCAGAUGGGAUACUUAUCUUUUGAUGACUGAUGAUCAAAUUCAUUGGUUCUCAAUUGUAAAUUCUUUGAUGAUUGUUCUUUUCCUUUCGGGUAUGGUGGCCAUGAUUAUGUUGCGUACCCUCUACCGUGACAUCUCUAAGUACAAUCAAUUAGAGACCCAGGAAGAAGCUCAAGAAGAAACUGGAUGGAAAUUAGUUCAUGGAGAUGUUUUCAGGCCUCCAACAAACUCUGAUCUACUCUGUGUUUAUGUUGGAACUGGCGUUCAGUUUUUUGGGAUGAUACUAGUUACCAUGAUCUUUGCUGCACUUGGAUUCUUAUCCCCAUCUAACCGAGGAGGGUUGAUGACAGCUAUGCUUCUUCUCUGGGCAUUCAUGGGCCUGCUUGCUGGAUAUGCCUCAUCUCGUCUUUACAAGAUGUUCAAAGGAACAGAGUGGAAGAAAAUUACUCUUCAAACCGCUUUCACCUUCCCUGGAAUUAUCUUUGCCAUUUUCUUUGUAUUGAAUGCUCUGAUUUGGGGCGAGAAAUCCUCAGGCGCUGUGCCAUUUGGAACCAUGUUUGCAUUAGUGUUCUUGUGGUUUGGUAUUUCGGUUCCUCUUGUCUUUGUUGGUAGUUAUGUAGGGUUUAGGAAGCCAGCUAUUGACAAUCCAGUGAAAACCAACAAGAUUCCAAGGCAAAUUCCUGAGCAGGCCUGGUACAUGAACCCAAUUUUCUCUAUCCUAAUUGGAGGCAUACUCCCAUUUGGCGCAGUAUUUAUUGAGCUGUUCUUCAUUUUAACAUCAAUCUGGUUGCAUCAGUUCUAUUACAUUUUCGGGUUCCUCUUCCUUGUGUUCGUAAUACUAAUCAUAACAUGUGCUGAGAUCACAAUCGUGCUCUGCUAUUUCCAGCUGUGCAGUGAGGAUUAUCUCUGGUGGUGGAGAUCAUAUCUGACAUCAGGGUCAUCAGCACUCUACCUCUUACUUUAUGCAGCUUUUUACUUCUUCACAAAGCUCGACAUCACAAAACCAGUAUCUGGUGUUCUCUACUUUGGGUACAUGCUGAUUGCUUCAUAUGCUUUCUUCGUGCUGACUGGUACAAUUGGUUUCUAUGCAUGUUUCUCGUUUACAAGGCUCAUCUACUCCUCGGUGAAGAUUGACUAAGUGAUGGGACGUUGAAGUAAGUGUUUAUAGUCCCUCAAGAAAGCUUAUUAAACUCCUGGGGCCUUUUUUCAAAAGUUAUGCUCGGUGUAACCUUUGAACUCCCUAAAGGUAGAAGUUAUCUUGCUCAUCUCCUUUGCAUUUAUAAUUUUGGUUUUGUAUGGAGACUUUACUUGUUUUUGAACUGUCCCAUUUUAGUUAUAACGAGAAUACUUAUUGUAAUGAUACUUUUGUUGAUGAAAUAUGUGUAAGGUACUUCUUUCCUAUUUGUCACAGCUAAAAUUGUUGUGAAACUGCUGAAUUUUGUAUUCUUCCAUCAAAUAGAUGCAGUCUCAUCUUCGUUGCAGUUAAAAAUAUCUACUGUUCCUACAAAGGCAGAAGCUGGCAAAACCUUUCGUUGUUUGCUACUUGUUAUAUAAUGGCUGCUCUCUGUGUAAAGCAAGCAGCCCAAGGAUUUCCUCUCUGCAGAAAUCCCCCAUCGUUAAAGGACGUGCUUCGUACUCUGUAUUUUAACCUUUCUGUCUGUAAUAUUGUCGAGUACUGACUUACACUAUGAAGCCUUCACAGGGUCAAUCCUCUCUUUCAUUAGAGAAGUCACUGGAAUAUGUAGAAUCUAAAUGGGAAGAUUAGAAGAUCUAGGCCAAGUCCAUGUCAACACGCUCCCAUGGAUUAAUGUGGUCUGUUCUAUCACAACACAGCGUUUGGUAAUUUAGGUUCGAUACAAUUAACUUCUUAUUCUUUGUAAUUCCG